GCCCUGGAUAGCUUAAUGGUUAAAGCAGUCGCCUGGCAAGCGAAAGAUCCGGGUUCGAUUCCCGGUCCAGGCA
rnacentral:tRNA from 1 species